rnacentral:rRNA from 1 species
GUAGGUGGCAAGCGUUGUCCGGAAUUAUUGGGCGUAAAGCGCGCGCAGGCGGUUCUUUAAGUCUGAUGUGAAAGCCCACGGCUCAACCGUGGAGGGUCAUUGGAAACUGGAGAACUUGAGUACAGAAGAGGAAAGCGGAAUUCCACGUGUAGCGGUGAAAUGCGUAGAGAUGUGGAGGAACACCAGUGGCGAAGGCGGCUUUCUGGUCUGUAACUGACGCUGAGGCGCGAAAGCGUGGGGAGCAAACAGGGAUUAGAUACCCUGGUAGUCCACGCCGUAAACGAUGAGUGCUAAGCGUUAGGGGGUUUCCGCCCCCUUAGUGCUGCAGCUAACGCAUUAAGCACUCCGCCUGGGGAGUACGGCCGCAAGGCUG